AUUCUUGUUCCUGGCUCCUCUUCUCUGGCUUUGCUUCCUGGCUGCCAUGACAUGAACAGCUUUACUCCACCAGGCCCUUCCACCAUGCAGGCUUGGAGCUGGCUGUCUGUGGACCGAACCUACUGAAACUCAUCUUCCCAUAGAUGCUGAAGAAGUUGGAUGUGAAACAUUUUCAUCCUGAUUAACUCCUCACCCAAUAUUUUCAGAAGGUGCAUCCAUUUUCCUAUGAAUGUCUUGAGUUUGUCCUUCUUUAUAGGAGGUGAUGGUUUUGCUCCUCCUUGAAGUAUCAGCAGGAGCUCAUGAGGAAGAGAUGGCCAAGGAAGGGCAUUCAGGCAGAGAGAGGCACAUGGUCAAGAUCCUGGUGGAAAAGAAGUGGUGCCUACAAUCCAGAUAAUUUAAGUAAACCCACGUGGCAGAUCCCGAGUUUGGUGAAACCUGUGCCCCACCUACUCCAGCCUGCUCCUGAACAACUGAAGGGAGAAGCUACAAAUCAUAGAAGAGAGCUCCAAACUACUAAUCUAAGUUUGCAACCACACACCAGGCUCUCCUGGUUCUUCCAAUGGGUGAUAUAUGAGUUUCCCGUGGCUGCCAUAAGAAAUUACCACACACUUGAUGACUUAAACCAAUAAAAAUUUAUUCCCUCAGAGUUCUGGAGACUAGAAGUCUGAAAUGAAGGUGUUGGCAGAGCCAUGCUCCUCCCAAAGGC
rnacentral:lncRNA from 1 species